GCUGUACUAGCAAUCAGCGCGACUCCGUGGGCCUAGGAUCCUCCGAGCCAGGAUUUACUAAACCUUAGGAGCUGAGCCAGGAAUGGUGGUGCAUGCCUGUUGUCUCAGCUACUUGGGAGGCUGAGGUGGGAGAUCGAUUUAACCCAUGUGUUUAAAACCGAACGGAGCUAUGAUCAUGCCACUGCACUCCAGCCUAGGCAGCAGAGUGACAGCCCGUGAAGAAAGAGAGAGAGAGAGAGAGAGUGAGAGACAGAGAGAGACAGAGAGAGAGAGACCUUAAGAGCUGAAUCCUUAUCAACGGAUUCUAAUGAAAGGCCAUGCUUUUCUCCAAAAUGCUGGAUGAGGCCAUCUGUCUACUAUUCUUGUUAAUAAA
rnacentral:lncRNA from 10 species